rnacentral:tRNA from 1 species
GCCUGGGUGGCUCAGUCGGUUGGGUAUCUGACUUUCGAUCAGGUCGUGAUCUUAAGGAUCACGUGAGUUCGAGCCUCACGUCGGGCU